CGCGCCCUGCGGCUGCACCUGGCCGCGCGGCCCGCGGGCGGGACCUGCCCUCCUGCUGUCCUGGGCACCGGCUCCCGCUGCAGCCGUCCUGGAAAAGCACUUCUGUCCCCGGGUUCCCACAUCACGACUUCCAUUCAUUCCAAGUUCAGAGCUCAAGUGGGUGCUACCGCUUCUGCCUCCCUCCAGCUGUGGCCCGGCUAGUGCUCUCGGAAAGCCAGAGCCGCCCCCUCCUGAUUCAGGAAUGUUCAGACUUUAGGCACCUGCUAAACAGCUCUGCCAAGUAGCUCAAGGAUAGGCUCCAGUUGCCUGCCUGCACAGAUGGGAAACACAUUCCAGCCGCAGUCACUGACGCACAGCCAAAGACUUAACUUUUGAACACACAGUGGCAGCCCCCCUCGAGUGUCGUUCUAGGGAGUUGAGAAGGCACCAUGAAGGAAGGAGGAGGUCAACUACCACAAGGAGUUUGAUAUUAUUGGAUUUAGCAAAUAAACACAGGUGGAUACGAUUGAUGUGCACAAUUUGUCAAAAAUUACUGAAGCAAGAAGUUAGGAGAAACCUAUCAUGGCUACACCCAAAUGCUCUCUGCUUCGUAGUUACUACCUACUCGUGACAUGAAAGAACCCAAGUCUGGGUCACCUAGUGAGCCAGUACUCUGAUUCCCAAAGUACCAUAACCACAGAGGUUAAUCUCUGCUGCAGUGUAAUCUGACAACUGUAAAUUUUUUCCUGGAGACAAGUGACUUUUCUUGGGGACAAAUUCCUCUUCUGAAUGCCUUUGGACUCUUCUUCUUCCUGCAGGAGGUUCUUAGGAAAAUCCUGUUUUCUUGAGUGCUUCCUAUAGUCUGUUCACCAAAGAGUGGUUCAAAGUGUCUCCUUAGGAUGUGUCCAUAUCCGCCAAACAGGCUGGUUACAUUGUCGUCUGGUAACAGCCAUCUUGAUGCUUCAUAACCUGGUGGUAGCCACCACCUAUUGAGAAAGAGCAAAUUGUGUCCUCUAAACUAUUGCCAGUUUUGUCCCUAAGGACUUACUUUAUAAGGGUUUACAAUCUAUAAGCAGAGA